rnacentral:snRNA from 1 species
UUGUCAAUGAGUGAAGGAAGAUCAGAU